rnacentral:lncRNA from 1 species
CUGUCAUGUGACCUUCCUUCACCUUUGAUCCUAGAUAGGUGGCCCAGAGCUUCAUGCUGGGGCUUCUCCCUUGAUUGGCUUUGGAAAGAAAUCCUUUGUUGUCAGGGGCACAAUGAGUCAGAGGUCAGAGGCUGCAGGAGGAUCUCCAACACCAAAGCUAGCAUUUGCUGCCUAGAGCUGUUGCCUGACUCUAAGCAGGAGAAACUACAGAAAACACUUUGUAGUGUUCCCUCUUAGGAAAACAGUGAAGUGUUUUAAAUCCUGCCAGAGACAGCUUAUCUGUCCAGACUUGCACUCAAGCCUCACCCAGAGAAAGAGCCACAGACUGGGGAACCAUGUCAUGAAAGCGUGGCUCACUGGCCAAGUUUAUAUCUGAAUUCCUCUACCAUUCACAGCCUUACAGUAGGCACACACUUGCAUCUAGGGCUCUGCCAGGCCAUCCAAAUCUUCUUGAUUGGCAUCUGCAGCAAUGCUAGCCUGUGUCCUAGAAGAGAGCAGUGAAGCUGUCAGAUCCAGGUGUGCUUUGUUGGCAAGCACUUUACUCUUUGGCCUAGCUUCCUCACCUUUAAGGUGGUGAUAAAACCCACAUGUUGUUGAAAGCUCAAAUCAGCUAAAGCCUAUGUAUAUAAGAGCACAAUGUAAACUUGACACAAAGGCACAUAUGUGGCUAUUGAUUAAUUUGCUUCUUUUUUUUUUUUCGGUACCGGGGAUCAAACUCAGGUCCGCCUGCUUGCGCAGCUGAAACCACUGAGCUAAGUCCCCAGCCUUAUUAAUUUGCUUCUUAUUGCAUACCUGUUCUGUCCCAGGCACUGUGCUUGCCAAGAGCUAUAUGGGCAUUCUCUUGUUCCCCGUCCCAGCCCUGGGAAGUAGUAACUGCUAUCCUCAUCUUUCUGCACAAGGGAAAAUGAACACUUAAGAGAAUUCUUAUAACCUCAAAGCUGUGCACUGGUGGUGUUAAGCCAGUAUUCGUUCUCUCAAACCCAGUUCCAUUAGCCACUGUGCUCUGCUUCCCGCAGUUCACAUGGUGCACUUUACACUGUGCAUCUUAAAGAGGCCUCCACUGGAAAAGAUCAGCCACCUUGGUUUCCAUGGGGCACCUGCUGUGGGUUUGCCACUGCCAGGUUUUGGGAGGAAACUUUCAUAUAAGAAACAGCCUACCACAUGAAGCUUACUCUGCCCUUGGAGUUGUUUAAUUCAGUAUUCUUUCAUUUAACAGUUAUUUAUUGAUCACCUACUAUAUGCCAGGCUCUAAAGUACUAGAUAUCAGGAAAUCAAACAAAGUCAUUGUUCUUAAAGAAUUUGCAGUCUGGAAAGUGGAAGGCAUAACAAGUGUACUGUAGGAGGUGUUGAUAAGUGCUCUGAAGAGAAAAGGCCUGGGGGUGCAGAGAAGGACCUGUCUUAGAUAAGGAAAAGAGUUGCCUUCUGGAGGGAAGGAGUACACUGUUCAGAUAGCAGGAGACCAAGCAUUCCCAGCAGAGGAAGUAGCAUCAGCUAAAGCCCUGAGGCUAGUCUGUGUGCCUGAGGUGCAGCAAGGAGGCAGGGAACAGAGCAGCAGAUGGGAAUGACCAGGUGAAUGUUGUAUAGCCUACAGGGCUAGGCUGAGGCCUAGACUUGGCUUUUAGUUGUAAGGAUACCAUACAAGGCUCUAUAUGGGAUUCUGGACAGAAGAAGGUGAUGAUCUGGUAUUUCUGAAGGAUCCUGGCUGGCAUUUAGAGAGAGGAGGAGUGAAGCCAAAGAGAUAGUGUGGGGUUGUGGCAGGGAUGCAGAUGAGAGCCAGGGGGCUCAUCUCCCCCUGGCUGAAAUUUCAGCACCCUCUUCUCCCAAAAGGCAGAGGCCAUUGCAUUAUUUUAAAAAAUAUUUUUAUAAUUAAGUCUUUUUUGAAGAGAGAAAUCUUUGCAUAGUUUUAAUCAUGCAUCACAUACAAUUUAAUGUCUUGGCUCUUUACUUAAUUGUAGGUCAUAUUUUCCUACCAACACAUAGCCUGAAUAAAUGCUUUUAAUUAUAUAAAACCCCAUUAAAAGGUAUUCCAUAGUUUGUCAUUUUCCUAUUAUGAGACUUUCACGUGUUCCCAAUUUUUCACUACUGUUAAUUUGAAAAAUGUUGUAAAGAUUUUUCUUUAAAGUAUGCGCUAAAAUAAAUUCCCAGAAGUGGAUUUAUUGGAUCUGAGACUCAAAACGUUUUAUUAUGGGAACAUUAAAAUAUAAAUAAAAAUGGUGAAUAAUAAACUGAACUCAUAGUUUUAACAGUUGUCAACAUUUAGCAGUCUAGUUUCAUUCUACCUCUAAGUCUGACUGUUAACUGGAGUCUUUUAAAGAUAAUCUGAGGACUGGGGAUAUAGCUCAGCGGUGCUGCAUCUGCCUGGCAAGUGCAAGGUCCUGAGUUUGAUCCCUGAUACGGAGAAGAAAAACAAUAAAGAUAAUCUGAAUACAAGUUUAAGAAGAGCCAAUGGGUCUUGCUGACACACUGAAUGGGGGUAAGAGGAGCCCAAACCACAGGAAGUUGUCCCUGACUUGAGGUGAUCUUAAGGCAGGACCCCAUAUCUUGUAUCCACAUUACAGGUGCUGUCACGGCUUGUGUCUAGAUGUCCCCCUAAAGUCUCACGUGGUCAGAGAUGGAGCUUUCGGAGGUGGCUGAAGCUAGAGUAUGUGAUGCUGGGAUUGAUUUAUUGUGUGGUGCUAGGAUUAAGGGUCCUCCACCUUGGGUGAGAGUGCUAUCCACCCUUAGGGUGGGUAGUCUGGAUAGAAUGUAAGAGACAGAAGGAGAGCUGGGUGCUCACUGCUUGCUGCCUGCUGCUUUUGCUGCCUGCUGCUUUUGCUGCCUUCUGUCUGCCAUGAACUGUUUCUCCUCUGCAAUGCCCCUCUGCCAUUCUAGCCUGCUUUGGAGCCAGCCAACUAUGAACUGAAACCUCUGCAAACUGUGAACCAAAAUAAACCUCUUUUUCUUUAA